UAUGGUGUUGGGCCUAUAUAUCACAUACCAGGGAUCACGGAUCAGUUUGAAUGCAUCUAAAUACUUGAAGAGGUCAUGUUACCUCAUGCCGAAGAGGAAAUGCCCUUGAAAUGGGUGUUUCAA